CUGCCGCCGGCGACCGGCGCACGGGUGAGUAACACGUAUGCAACCUGGCCGUGACAGAUGGAUAACCGGGAGAAAUCCCGCCUAAUACAACAUAAUGCCGGGAGGGGACAUCCCCUGCCGGCCAAAGGGGGCGACCCCGGUCACGGAUGGGCAUGCGGCGCAUUAGGUAGUUGGUGGGGCAACGGCCCACCAAGCCGACGAUGCGUAGGGGUUCUGGGAGGAAGGUCCCCCACAUUGGAACUGAGACACGGCCCAAACUCCUACGGAAGGCAGCAG
rnacentral:rRNA from 1 species